UACGGGGGGGGGCAAGCGUUGUUCGGAAUUACUGGGCGUAAAGGGUGCGUAGGCGGCGCGGUAAGUUGGGCGUGAAAGCUCCGGGCUUAACCCGGAGAGGCCGUCCAAUACUGCGAGGCUGGAGGAUGUCAGAGGAAGGUGGAAUUCCUGGUGUAGUGGUGAAAUGCGUAGAUAUCAGGAGGAACACCCGUGGCGAAGGCGGCCUUCUGGGGGCAUUCCUGACACUGAGAAGCGAAAGCUAGGGGAGCAAACGGG
rnacentral:rRNA from 1 species